AGAGUAUAAUGACGUAAAGGACAUGCUGGUAGCCAGUGAAUUUGGCUGGGAUAGUGAGCGCAUGAUGGUUACAGCACCUGAUGAUGUAUGGGAAGAGUAUCUUUGGUCACACCCGCGCGUUGAAAGGUUACGAGGCAAUAGAAUAGAGAGAAUGAAUGACUUAGCGGUCAUCGUUGGAUCUAAUCAGGCAACAAGACGUUACGUCCAAGGAAGCAGGAGUAUGGCUGCAUCAUCCUCUCGGGUCCAGCGAGAUCUGAACGAGACGUGGACGGGGAUCGAUGACGAUGUCGAUGACAUGGUUGACCUCUCGGACGAUACUAUAGGCGAAUCAUGGGGAACACUCCAUUUUCAUCCGUCCCAUCGGGUGGGAGAAAUCGGGUGUUUCGCAGUACUCCUGUCCGCACAUCUGAUUCUGAUAGUAAUCGUAGUGGGAGUAGCAUUAAAAAAUGACAGUGACCACCUCGUCCCUGUGAUGUACUUGGCAUCUCUCUUAAUAUUGUAGCAGAUGCAAUGCGUGAUUUCGACCUUGGAAAAGAAGUCAAUCGAAUAAGAAGUCUUGGAUUUGCUAGAGGAGGUGCAAGGGUUGACCAACAGCGAGUUCAUUGAGGUUGGCCAGCUCUUAAGUCGGGACAAGCAACUCGCUUCUUUCUUUGUGAGUUUACGACAUGAGCGCCGUGUAUAUUAGCUAAAGAAAACAAUAUCUGAUAAGUUUGCAUCUGGUGGUGGUGGUUCUGUUUGAUAUAGUUUUUUGAUUUUGGACUUGUAAUAACUUAACUGAUAUUUGGACAUGUUCUAUUUGGUAGACACUACGUAUUAAACUGUUUAAAUUAGAUAUAAUGUGGAAUUUGAACUCUGUUAUUAUAAAAUCGUAGAUUGGUUAUAAUCAUAUGCCCAGAUUGGCUGGGAUGAUGAAUUCGGAUAUUGCCGAAGGAAAUCAUGGUUAGUUGAUAAAUUAGAUGUUUGGCUACUAUCCAAAUCUUAAAGGAUGGGGAAAUAAAAAUAUUACGUUGUACUCGUUGGUCGCAGACCAGACAUUUAUGUAUCUUGGGAGGAGGCCAGAUUAGAGGUAGAAGGCUACAGCGGGAGUCGACAUUGAGCCUUCAAAAACUUGAAAGAAGCAACUGCCUAUUAAGAAAGUCACUAUGACAAUUCAAUUGCCCAACCAACUGCAAGACGAACCACAUAUGAUGGAUGUGUAUCAAGCUCUUCUGACCAUCUCGACACAAGGAGGAUAUAUUGGUCGUCAACCCAACAGAUGUUACGGGCCAUGGUAUCUCGGGCUACUUUGACGGAUGGGACCGAGAUGUCCUUUGGUGAGAGAGUAGCUGCGUUUAUUACGGGCAUCGUGGUUAUGUUCCUCUUCCUGUAUAUUAUUAUUAGACUGUAGUGUAUUUUCCGAUGUAUGUCUGUAGUAAUCCUUGCAAACUCUACUAACACUUAUUCCAGGAUCUCCAUUACAUGAUGCUUUAUGUAAUACUUCUUUUUUGCUUAA